rnacentral:rRNA from 1 species
GAGUUUGAUCCUGGCUCAGGAUGAACGCUAGCUACAGGCUUAACACAUGCAAGUCGCGGGGCAGCAUGAUUUUUCCCUCGGGAAAGAUUGAUGGCGACCGGCGCACGGGUGAGUAACGCGUAUCCAACCUGCCCGUCACCACGGGAUAGCCUGCCGAAAGGCAGAUUAAUACCGUAUGUGGUCCGAAGACGGCAUCAGAUUCGGACUAAAGGUUCAGCGGUGACGGAUGGGGAUGCGUCCGAUUAGGUAGUAGGCGGGGUAACGGCCCACCUAGCCAUCGAUCGGUAGGGGUUCUGAGAGGAAGGUCCCCCACACUGGAACUGAGACACGGUCCAGACUCCUACGGGAGGCAGCAGUGAGGAAUAUUGGUCAAUGGAGGCAACUCUGAACCAGCCAAGUAGCGUGCAGGAUGACGGCCCUAUGGGUUGUAAACUGCUUUUAUGCGGGGAUAAACUGAGCCACGUGUGGCUUAUUGCAGGUACCGCAUGAAUAAGGACCGGCUAAUUCCGUGCCAGCAGCCGCGGUAAUACGGAAGGUCCGGGCGUUAUCCGGAUUUAUUGGGUUUAAAGGGAGCGCAGGCCGCCCCUUAAGCGUGUUGUGAAAUGCCGCGGCUCAACCGUGGCACUGCAGCGCGAACUGGGGGGCUUGAGUGCGCCGGAGGUAGGCGGAAUUCG